UGAAGUGAUGUUGAUGCUGAUUGGAAAAAGGGGCGCUGUUAUUCAACAGGUUUUUGGAAAAGUUCUGAAGAGUUGCUUUUGAAUUGGGAACUUCCAAAAGAGCUUUUGGAAGAGUCUGUGAAAUUUGCUUCAAACUGCUGUGUUUACAGCUUAUUCCAAUUUUUUAAAUAAAAUUAUUUCUGAUGUAACAGAGACCUUUUGGAUUAUGAACUUAGGGAUUGCUUGUAACAUGUACAAACUUAAUUUGGAAUUUCUCUUUUUGGCCAGUUAUGUAAUUGUUUUGGAUUAUUAGGAAUUUUUGGAUUAGUUAGGAUAUAUUAAACUGUAAGAAAAAAUUGGGUUAGACGUGUAACCCUUUGGAUCAUUUGCAAAAUUUACAUAAUUUUAAUUUAAGUUUUUUUGUUAUUUAUGUGGAUACUUUUGGGUUAUUAUGUAACAUUUGGAUUAAAUUGGAAUAUCACUUGGAGCAUUAUUUGGAAUAUGAUUUGG
rnacentral:lncRNA from 1 species